rnacentral:rRNA from 1 species
GGCCUAACACAUGCAAGUCGAGCGGGGGAGAUUGCUUCGGUAAUUGACCUAGCGGCGGACGGGUGAGUAAUACUUAGGAAUCUGCCUAUUAAUGGGGGACAACAUCUCGAAAGGGAUGCUAAUACCGCAUACGCCCUACGGGGGAAAGCAGGGGAUCACUUGUGACCUUGCGUUAAUAGAUGAGCCUAAGUCGGAUUAGCUAGUUGGUGGGGUAAAGGCCUACCAAGGCGACGAUCUGUAGCGGGUCUGAGAGGAUGAUCCGCCACACUGGGACUGAGACACGGCCCAGACUCCUACGGGAGGCAGCAGUGGGGAAUAUUGGACAAUGGGGGGAACCCUGAUCCAGCCAUGCCGCGUGUGUGAAGAAGGCCUUAUGGUUGUAAAGCACUUUAAGCGAGGAGGAGGCUCUCUUGGUUAAUACCCAAGAUGAGUGGACGUUACUCGCAGAAU